rnacentral:tRNA from 2 species
CGCGGGGUGGAGCAGCGGCAGCUCGUCGGGCUCAUAACCCGAAGGUCAGAGGUUCGAAUCCUCUCCCCGCAACCA